AUUCCCUUCAGUAGAACAUACACUAAAAUUGGAACGAUGUAGAGAUUAGCAUGGUCCCUGUGCAAUGAUGUCACACAAAUUUGUGAGGUGGUCCUUAUUUUU